rnacentral:rRNA from 1 species
GGGGAAUAUUGGACAAUGGGGGGAACCCUGAUCCAGCGACGCCGCGUGAGUGAAGAAGUAUUUCGGUAUGUAAAGCCCUAUCAGCAGGGAAGAAGAAAGACGGUACCUGACUAAGAAGCCCCGGCUAACUACGUGCCAGCAGCCGCGGUAAUACGUAGGGGGCAAGCGUUAUCCGGAUUUACUGGGUGUAAAGGGAGCGUAGACGGUAGUGCAAGUCUGAAGUGAAAGGCGGGGGCCCAACCCCCGGACUGCUUUGGAAACUGUGCAGCUGGAGUGCAGGAGAGGUAAGUGGAAUUCCUAGUGUAGCGGUGAAAUGCGUAGAUAUUAGGAGGAACACCAGUGGCGAAGGCGGCUUACUGGACUGUAACUGACGUUGAGGAACGAAAGCCAGGGUAGCAAAUGGG